GAUGAGCGCUGGCGGCGUGCCUAAUACAUGCAAGUCGAGCGAACGGACGAGAAGCUUGCUUCUCUGAUGUUAGCGGCGGACGGGUGAGUAACACGUGGAUAACCUACCUAUAAGACUGGGAUAACUUCGGGAAACCGUAGCUAAUACCGGAUAAUAUUUUGAACCGCAUGGUUCAAAAGUGAAAGACGGUCUUGCUGUCACUUAUAGAUGGAUCCGCGCUGCAUUAGCUAGUUGGUAAGGUAACGGCUUACCAAGGCAACGAUGCAUAGCCGACCUGAGAGGGUGAUCGGCCACACUGGAACUGAGACACGGUCCAGACUCCUACGGGAGGCAGCAGUAGGGAAUCUUCCGCAAUGGGCGAAGGCCUGACGGAGCAACGCCGCGUGAGUGAUGAAGGUCUUCGGAUCGUAAAACUCUGUUAUUAGGGAAGAACAUAUGUGUAAGUAACUGUGCACAUCUUGACGGUACCUAAUCAGAAAGCCACGGCUAACUACGUG
rnacentral:rRNA from 1 species